rnacentral:rRNA from 1 species
UGGGGAAUUUUGGACAAUGGGCGAAAGCCUGAUCCAGCAAUGCCGCGUGUGUGAAGAAGGCCUUCGGGUUGUAAAGCACUUUUGUCCGGAAAGAAAUGGCUCUGGUUAAUACCUGGGGUCGAUGACGGUACCGGAAGAAUAAGGACCGGCUAACUACGUGCCAGCAGCCGCGGUAAUACGUAGGGUCCAAGCGUUAAUCGGAAUUACUGGGCGUAAAGCGUGCGCAGGCGGUUGUGCAAGACCGAUGUGAAAUCCCCGAGCUUAACUUGGGAAUUGCAUUGGUGACUGCACGGCUAGAGUGUGUCAGAGGGGGGUAGAAUUCCACGUGUAGCAGUGAAAUGCGUAGAGAUGUGGAGGAAUACCGAUGGCGAAGGCAGCCCCCUGGGAUAACACUGACGCUCAUGCACGAAAGCGUGGGGAGCAAACAGGAUUAGAUACCCUGGUAGUCCACGCCCUAAACGAUGUCAACUAGUUGUUGGGGGAUUCAUUUCCUUAGUAACGUAGCUAACGCGUGAAGUUGACCGCCUGGGGAGUACGGUCGCAAGAUUAAAAGCUC